rnacentral:rRNA from 1 species
AUGUUCAACGUUCCGGCUUCUCUCAAGAGCAUGGAGAUUUGGUCGUGUUUUAAGCUUGAGUCCAUAUUCGGCAAGCAACAAGGCAUCUCAGUGUUAGUUGAAGGGUCUUCUUGCAGUGAGGCAAUCGUGCCCGCAGCUUUAUCAGAGAUGCCAUCCUCACACAUGAAUCACUUCUGUCCAUGCCUAGAAUAUGUAGGGUUGUAUUACUGUGGAAGUUUAACAGCAGUUUUAAAUCUGCCCCCAUCUUUAAAGGCCAUAUUUAUUAAAGGCUGCGAUAGUGUUCAAGUACUAUCAUGUCAGCCGGGCGGACUCUAG